ACGCACCAUUAGUAAUGGGUAAUAAUUCCGAUAGUUCAUGAACGCAACAUUAGACCUGGCAAGCCACGCCCCCUCGUACUACGUACUGAACUCAACGGCUGCCGACGGGUGACUGACUGUUGUUGCGGUAACCUGAAGUUGUCUAACUUACCUGCUGGGCGACAAACAUGAAGCAAAACAAACAAACAAACAAAAAUUGUAGAGUUUAACGUUAGUUAUGUGGUGUUAAAAUGUCUUAAUUAGGGAACUCGUCACGUUUCCAACUUACUCCAAUCAGCAACACCUGUGUCAGUCAGGAUACACUGGGAUACUUUCUCCAUGAACCAGCUGGCUGAUUCCCUAAAGAGGUACAGGGAACAUGAAGUGUGGUGGACAAAUUGGUGGUGCUACAAGGUGACAAAUUCCAUGGAAAAGCUGACUGAAAGGAUUAGAAAGGCUUGGAGAAGGCUGCCCCCUGCCGCCACUGAGGACAACUACACUAAUACAGACAAGAGCGCCUCAACA